CUGGAAGGAAUCUGGAGACAGGUGGCUGCGAUGGCUGUCGUCAGCUCGUGUCGUGAGAUGUUGGGUUAAGUCCCGCACGAGCGCAACCCUUGCCUUUAGUUGCCAGCAGUUCGGCUGGGCACUCUAAAGGGACUGCCGGUGUUAAACCGGAGGAAGGUGGGGAUGACGUCAAGUCCUCAUGGCCUUUAUGACCAGGGCUACACACGUACUACAAUGGCCGAUACAAAGGGCAGCGACACUGCGAGGUGAAGCCAAUCCCGUAAAAUCGGUCUCAGUCCGGAUUGGAGUCUGCAACUCGACUCCAUGAAGUUGGAAUCGCUAGUAAUCGUGGAUCAGCAUGCCACGGUGAAUACGUUCCCGGGCCUU
rnacentral:rRNA from 1 species